rnacentral:rRNA from 1 species
GACGAACGCUGGCGGCGUGCUUAACACAUGCCAGUCGAACGGAAAGGCCCUGCUUUUGUGGGGUGCUCGAGUGGCGAACGGGUGAGUAACACGUGAGUAACCUGCCCUUGACUUUGGGAUAACUUCAGGAAACUGGGGCUAAUACCGGAUAGGAGCUCCUGCUGCAUGGUGGGGGUUGGAAAGUUUCGGCGGUUGGGGAUGGACUCGCGGCUUAUCAGCUUGUUGGUGGGGUAGUGGCUUACCAAGGCUUUGACGGGUAGCCGGACUGAGAGGGUGACCGGCCACAUUGGGACUGAGAUACGGCCCAGACUCCUACGGGAGGCAGCAGUGGGGAAUAGUGCACAAUGGGCGGAAGCCUGAUGCAGCAACGCCGCGUGCGGGAUGACGGCCUUCGGGUUGUAAACCGCUUUCGCCUGUGACGAAGCGUGAGUGACGGUAAUGGGUAAAGAAGCACCGGCUAACUACGUG